rnacentral:rRNA from 1 species
GACGAACGCUGGCGGCGUGCUUAACACAUGCAAGUCGAACGGAAAGGCCCUGCUUUUGUGGGGUGCUCGAGUGGCGAACGGGUGAGUAACACGUGAGUAACCUGCCCUUGACUUUGGGAUAACUUCAGGAAACUUGGGCUAAUACCGGAUAGGAGCUCCUGCUGCAUGGUGGGGGUUGGAAAGUUUCGGCGGUUGGGGAUGGACUCGCGGCUUAUCAGCUUGUUGGUGGGGUAGUGGCUUACCAAGGCUUUGACGGGUAGCUGGCCUGAGAGGGUGACCGGCCACAUUGGGACUGAGAUACGGCCCAGACUCCUACGGGAGGCAGCAGUGGGGAAUAUUGCACAAUGGGCGGAAGCCUGAUGCAGCAACGCCGCGUGCGGGAUGACGGCCUUCGGGUUGUAAACCGCUUUCGCCUGUGACGAAGCGUGAGUGACGGUAAUGGGUAAAGAAGCACCGGCUAACUACGUG